rnacentral:rRNA from 1 species
AAUCAACGCUGGCGGCGCGCCUAACACAUGCAAGUCGAACGAGAAAGCAGGAGCAAUCUUGUGAGUAAAGUGGCGUACGGGUGAGUAACACGUGGAUCAUCUACCCUCUUGUGGGGGAUAACUCUGGGAAACCGGAGCUAAUACCGCAUAAGUCCGAGAGGAGAAAGCAGCAAUGCGCAGGAGGAGGAGUCCGCGGCCGAUUAGCUAGUUGGUGGGGUAAGAGCCCACCAAGGCAACGAUCGGUAGCCGGCCUGAGAGGGCACACGGCCACACUGGCACUGAAACACGGGCCAGACUCCUACGGGAGGCAGCAGUGGGGAAUCUUGCACAAUGGGGGCAACCCUGAUGCAGCGACGCCGCGUGGGGAUGACGGCCUGGUGUAA